rnacentral:misc_RNA from 1 species
GAUGAAGAACGUAGCGAAAUGCGAUAAGUAAUGUGAAUUGCAGAAUUCCGUGAAUCAUCGAAUCUUUGAACGCACAUUGCGCCCCUUGGUAUUCCAUGGGGCAUGCCUGUUCGAGCGUCAUUUGUACCUUCAAGCUUUGCUUGGUGUUGGGUGUUUGUCUCGCCUUUGCGUGUAGACUCGCCUUAAAAUAAUUGGCAGCCGGCGUAUUGAUUUCGGAGCGCAGUACAUCUCGCGCUUUGCACUCAUAACGACAGCGUCCAAAAGUACAUUUUACACUCUUGACCUCGGAUCAGGUAGGGAUACCCGCUGAACUUAAGCAUUUCAAUAAGCGGAGGA